rnacentral:rRNA from 1 species
AGUGAACGCUGGCGGUAGGCCUAACACAUGCAAGUCGAACGGCAGCACAGUAAGAUCUUGCCCUUACGGUUGGCGACUGGCGGACGGGUGAGGCAUACAUCAGCAUCUUCUUUUUCGUGGGGGAUAACGUAGGGACACUUACGCUAAUACCGCAUACUACCUACGGGUGAAAUCAGGAGAUCUUCGGACCUUUCGCGAUUGUAUGAGCCGAUGUCGGAUUAGCUAGUUGGCGGGGUAAAGGCCCACCAAGGCGACGAUCCGUAGCUGGUCUGAGAGGAUGAUCAGCCACACUGGAACUGAGACACGGUCCAGACUCCUACGGGAGGCAGCAGUGGGGAAUAUUGGACAAUGGGCGAAAGCCUGAUCCAGCCAUACCGCGUGGGUGAAGAAGGCCUUCGGGUCGUAAAGCCCUGUUGUUGGGAAAGAAAAGCAGCAGGUGAAUACCCCGCUGUUCUGACGGUACCCAAAGAAUAAGCACCGGCUAACUUCGUG